AGAACGAACGUUAGCGGCGCGCCUAACACAUGCAAGUCGCACGGUCCGGGGGCAACCUCGGGCAGUGGCGGACGGGUGAGGAACGCGUAGGGAUCUAUCCAUGGGUGGGGGACAACCGCGGGAAACUGCGGCUAAUACCGCAUGACGAGCGUGCCCGAGAGGGCAUGUUCCAAAGUUCGCAAGAGCGCCUGUGGCGGAGCCUGCGUCCGAUUAGCUUGUUGGUGGGGUAACGGCCCACCAAGGCUUCGAUCGGUAGCUGGUCUGAGAGGAUGAUCAGCCACACUGGGACUGAGACACGGCCCAGACUCCUACGGGAGGCAGCAGUGGGGGAAUAUUGGACAAUGGGCGCAAGCCUGAUCCAGCAAUGCCGCGUGGGUGAAGAAGGUCUUCGGAUUGUAAAGCCCGUUUCGGGCGGGGACGAGUGAUGACGGUACCCGCAGAAGAAGCCCGGCUAACUUCGCGCCAGCAGCCGCGGUAA
rnacentral:rRNA from 1 species